GAUGAACGCUGGCGGCGUGCCUAAUACAUGCAAGUCGAGCGAACGGACGAGAAGCUUGCUUCUCUGAUGUUAGCGGCGGACGGGUGAGUAACACGUGGAUAACCUACCUAUAAGACUGGGAUAACUUCGGGAAACCGGAGCUAAUACCGGAUAAUAUUUUGAACCGCAUGGUUCAAAAGUGAAAGACGGUCUUGCUGUCACUUAUAGAUGGAUCCGCGCUGCAUUAGCUAGUUGGUAAGGUAACGGCUUACCAAGGCAACGAUGCAUAGCCGACCUGAGAGGGGGAUCGGCCACACUGGAACUGAGACACGGUCCAGACUCCUACGGGAGGCAGCAGUAGGGAAUCUUCCGAAAUGGGCGAAAGACUGACGGAGCAACGCCGCGUGAGUGAUGAAGGUCUUCGGAUCGUAAAACUCUGUUAUUAGGGAAGAACAUAUGUGUAAGUAACUGUGCACAUCUUGACGGUACCUAAUCAGAAAGCCACGGCUAACUACGUG
rnacentral:rRNA from 1 species